rnacentral:rRNA from 1 species
GACGAACGCUGGCGGCGUGCCUAAUACAUGCAAGUUGAGCGCUGAAGGUUGGUACUUGUACCUACUGGAUUGGCAGCGAACGGGUGAGUAACGCGUGGGGAAUCUGCCUUUGAGCCGGGGACAACAUUUGGAAACGAAAGCUAAUACCGCAUAAAAACUUUAACCACAAGUUUUAAGUUUGAAAGAUGCAAUUGCAUCACUCAAAGAUGAUCUCGCGUUGUAUUAGCUAGUUGGUGAGGUAAAGGCUCAACAAGGCGAUGAUACAUAGCCGAACUUAGAGGGUGGUCGGCCAAAUUGGGACUGGAGCACGGCUCAAACUCCUAAGGGGAGCAGCAGGAGGGGAUCUUCGGCAAUGGACGAAAGGCUGACCGAGCAACGCCGCGUGGGGGAAGGAGGUUUUCCGAUCGUAAAACUCUGUUGGUAGGGAAGAACGUUGGUGAGAGGGGAAAGCUCAUCAAGUGACGGUAACUACCCAGAAAGGGACGGCUAACUACGUG